GUGUGUCUCUGUGUGUGUCAGUGUGUGUCAGUGAGUGUGUGUCUGUGUGUGUGUCAGUGUGUGUGAGUGUGAGCUGGGACUGUCUGACACCCCGCCGCCUGCCCGCACCCCCACCCCCCUCCCCCCGCGCCUUGGAUUUUUUGUUCUGUUGCUGUCGCCUGUUCUCGAAUCUCUGUGAGAGGAUCACCAUCCAAACUGGGAUCUAUGAGCGGAAAAGUGACAAAGGCAAAGGAAGAAAAGGAUGCCAGCAAAGUUCUGGCUGACGCUGC